rnacentral:rRNA from 1 species
AGCGAACGCUGGCGGUAGGCCUAACACAUGCAAGUCGAACGGCAGCACAGUAAUAGUUUGCUCUUACGGGUUGCGAAUGGCGGACGGGUGAGGAAUACAUCGUACUCUACUUUUUCGUGGGGGAUAACGUAGGGAAACUUAAGCUCAUACCGCAUACGACCUACGGUUGUAAGCAGGGGAUCUUCUGACCUUUCGCGGUUGAAUGAGCCGAUGUCGGAUUUGCUAGUUGGCGGGGUAAUGGCCCACCCAGGCGAGGAUACGUUGCUGGUCUGAGUGAAUGAUCAGCGACACUGGAACUUGAACGCGGUCCAGAGUCCUACGGGAGGCAGCAGUGUGGAAUGGUGGACAGUGGGGGGAAGCCUGAUCCAGCCGUACCACGUGGGUGAAGAAGGCCUUCGGGUUGUAAUGCCCUUUUGUUGGGAAAGAAACGCAGUAGGUUAAUACGACGCUGUUCUGACGGUACCGAAAGAAUAAGCACCGGCUAACUUCGUG